GACGAACCGAGCGAACGUUGUUCGGAAUCACUGGGCUUAAAGGGUGCGUAGGCGGCUUUCUAAGUUGGAUGUGAAAACUCUGGGCUCAACCCAGAGCCUGCAUCCAAAACUGGAGAGCUAGGGUUCUGGAGGGGAAAGCGGAAUUCCUGGUGUAGCGGUGAAAUGCGUAGAUAUCAGGAGGAACACCGGUGGCGAAGGCGGCUUUCUGGACAGAUACCGACGCUGAGGCACGAAAGCUAGGGGAGCAAACAGG
rnacentral:rRNA from 1 species